UCUCCUGCUAAAUACCUCUUGGUAGCAUCUACAUUUGGAAAGAUAAUAGAGAAGCCUAAUCUACACGAUGUGUUUUCCAGGGCUGAGCUGGUACUUUAUGAUGGAGAAAUGGAAGCUUGGCAAGCUUUAAAGCCUUGCCCAAGCUCCCCUGAGCUGGUGACGAGCAGACCAGGAGGGCGACCGUGGCUCAGUGACUUUCCACCACGGUGUGCAGCUGACAGAAAGGUCUGACAUCUUGUCAUGGGAGUCCUGCGUGGAGCAGAGACCUCUCAGUGGAGGACAAGGAAGAGGCAGCGGACUCGCUGAGCAUCCGUGGAGACUCUCACAGCCUUGCUCAAGGGGGCACUAAGGUGGAACCUGCAGUGACUGCAGCCGGGACCAGGCAGCUGGGACAGAGCCCCAGACAGAGGGACCAGUCAGGCAGGAGGAGGUGGGAGGUGCUCAGGGAAGCAGGGCAGGACAGCAGAGGGGAUAGCUGAGCAGCUCUGCCAGGUCCCAGCGUGGCAGGCAGAGGGGGGAAAUCUGGGAUGGAGGAGGUCAGUGCAGUGGGCGGUGGGAGUGGAAAGAUGGGGAGAGAUCAAGCUGCUGCACACUGUGUGUGGUAUGACCCUCUUCCUGCUUGCUUGUUUAAUUCCUGGGGCCAUGCUCCUGGGAAAGGACUCUCAGAAACUCUGGAACCUGGAGAGGGAGGAAAUAUUGGUUUUUCAGGGCUUAGGUCAACCACAUCUUUCUGAAAAGUGUUAAUUCUUAGUUGGAAAAAGGUGACAUGUGGGGAGAAAAUGAUCCUAUAGCCUAAGUUAGCCUUAGAACUCACACUCUACUGUGCGUUAGUGUUAUAAUAAAGUUUGGUGAUUUAAGAUUUAUAAGAAGGGCAAUCAUGGGCCUUUUUGACUUUUGCCCUGCACUUCUUUCCAGCAGCUCAAACUCAGCUCCCAGGCAUGGUUAUGGCCUCAGGAGCAGAGGGUAUUAUUUCACAUGCUUAUCAGUCUUUGCUGGACACGUGAGCCUUCUUCUGCCUUUAGUUUCUUGACCUUCGCUUCUAUUUAUACCUACAAUGCUCAUCCUUUCAAAUAGAGGGUAAUCUAAUAGCAGCUAUCUUUUCAUGUACUCUCUGAAAUAUAAAAAUCCUAAUGGCGUAAUAAUUGCCUUUUAUGCUUUUUAAAUGUCUUCUCUUUCUUUGGCAUUAACUUAUUUUUCAAAAUAGAUCUCUUCCUCCUUCUUUCUCCUGACUGCCUUUUCUAGAAUUGUACUUAAUGUUUUUUGCCAAUAGGCCUUUUUCUUAUAAGUCCUCACAUGUGUUCUAAUUAUAAACCAGCACACAUGGUGACAUAUAUUACUUUCCUAGGCUGGAUUCCAGAAAGCAAUGACAAGCAAAGAAAGAAGAGCUCCAUAAGUAAGCUGAAUUUAGUCUAGGGUAUGGCAGAUUGCCUUUGCUUCUGUAUUCUUUAAAAAUCCACCAGAUAGGAAAAGAAGUUUUAUUUCUAGCUGAGCAGGCCCCAAUGGGCUUCCCCCUUCUCUGCUAAAUUAUAAGCUUCCUUGGGUGAGUAAUAUGUUCUAGUCGUCUUUGAAUCUCACCUCUAGUGCCUUGCAAUGAGUGUUGAACUGCAUUAAAUCACAUUUAGUCAAAUAAAAAGUGUUACUUAACAGCAUUUCAGAUGAAGUCAAGGAAAUAAACUACAUUUUAUGGCAUAGACAGGCCUAGUGUCCCUGCUGUAGCUUACCAGAUAGCUCAUUCAAAAUUUUUAUGUAUCAAAUCUCAUAAUAUUUUUACUUAAAAAACAAAACUCUUUCCCUCAAAUAAGAAAAGUAAUAUAAAGUGGGAGAAAUCAUUCACAAUCCUAUUACCCUGCAAUAUAUCAAAUUAAUAGCAGUGGUCAUACUUUGUCUUUGUAGACAUACAUAUAUAUAGUAGACAUUUAAAACAAACUGGUACACUCUAGGUCCCAAAGGCAAGACGGUAUGAUAUGCAUCUUUCUCUGUGGCCUGCUCUUUCCACUCAUCAUCACGGGUUGAGAACACGUUUUCAUAUCAGUGCAACUAUUUCAACAGGUAUUUACUGCUCCAUCAUAUGAUUGAUUGAUUACACCAUAAUUUAAUCACUUAUCUAAGUUGUUUCUAUUUUUAAAAAGUAUUAUAACAUUUUGAUAUUCUUCUUGUUUGUGUGUGUGUGUUAAGAGACAGCAUCUGCCUCUGUUGCCCAGCUUAACGUGGCCUGCUCACAGCUCACUGUAACCUUGAAUCCCUGGGCUCAAGUGGUUCUCCUG